AUGUACUUGAAUUGUCUCAGAAAGACGUCACCUGACGGACAUAAAAAACCUGGACGUGAAAUACGUGGCUUUCUGUGUGAGCUGCAGACUUUGCCCGACGAGCUCCAUGAAGGCUGCUUUUAUCAGUCCCUGCCAGUCACACACACCUGGUACAGGCCAUAUGCUGAUUUAAUCUACUGGGCUACAAUCAAACAAAAGAUAAAAGAUAAAAUACAAUGUUCAUUGUCAGAAAAAGGGGAUGAAUUUUUUUUGAACUACCAUUUGGAGAUCUUUAAAUGGAAAAAUUACUGUGUAUUAUUUUAAUUUCAGUUUUCUUUAAUCCUUAUGAUCCUCUCUCGUCUCCAUAUACUAGACAAGUAUGUAUACUCCAAGCCAUAUACUUAAGAGACAUAUGGGAAACACAUUUUGCAGGGAAAGUCUGAGCAAAGAAGGGAAAGGUAUUCCUCAAAGGAAAGAUGAAGGAAAAGGAUAAAAGCAAGUCAUGUUAGCACAUUGUUUUGUUUCUGCUCUUUUCACUGCCUUCUAAUGUUUCAUUUAUCAAAUAAUAUGUAGACUGAUACAGAAUGUUAGGGUCUUUGAUUUUUAUAGUCCACAAUGUUUAAAAUCUUGACAAUUAGAAAGCUUCACCUAAAGCUGAAGAAUGGCUUGAAGAAAUAACUUUACCUGAUUCCUGUUAUUGUCUCUUUUUUACAAAACAUUAGAAGUUCCUUUAUGCCAACACCCUUCAUUUUGUGUUCCUUAUUUAUUAUGCCUUUUGUUUAGAUAAUCAAAGAAUUAUUUUGGUCUUUUCAGAGAAGAGACAGUAAAUUGGAGAUUAUGUUCCUUGCAUACAGCACGUUACAUUUCCUUAAACUCAUACAUUUUUCAAGUUUCAUUUGUUUAUUUGCUUUUUUUCUAAUAUAUUAAGUACUCCUACAGGCACUAAAAAUAUUAAAAUGUAAUCAUCUAGCCAAAUGUAAACUUCUUUUUCUACAAUAUAUCCUUCCUAAGUUCCAUGCCACCACAAUCCACACAAAGUAACUUUCUACCAUUCCAUCAUAAAAUUAUGCAAUAAUUUAGAUUGGAAGAACCUCCUGAGGUCUCUAGUGCAACCUGUUGCUAAAAGCAGAGCUAAAAGAAAAGCUAACUUCAAAGCUAGAUCUUGUUCCGGAAAACAGAUUUCUAAGAAACUUGUAGAAUUUUAUGAAGCUCAAAAAUUUUUAUAAAUCUUAGAUUUCUGGAUAAGAUGUAAAUUUAUGUCUUUUAACCUGAAACUUCCACUACAUUCAGUUCAAAAAUAUCUGAGCUUUAGCUUACAAGUACUGCUAUCUAUAUAGUGGAUUGUGCUUGACCUGUGCUUUACAGCAAUGCUGGAUAAAACAAGUUCUUUAGAUACGGCACAACUGAGGGAAUUCCCAGGAUUGGAAUGGAGAGAAUUAAUUCCCCAAUUUUUAAAAAGCCAUACAUUAACUCCUUAAAUGCCAUUCAUGGAGUACUAAUUAACUGGAUAUAAUUGAAGUGCUUUAGUAAGUCUUGAGAAGAUUGUGAGAAAGAGUUGCUAGAUAAAUGAAUAUAGUAUUGAAAAUAAAACCUCACCUUUUUUGUCCA
ensembl:lncRNA